AAUUUUGCGCAAUGGGCGAAAGCCUGACGCAGCAACGCCGCGUGUGUGACUAAGCCCUUCGGGGUGUAAAACACUGUCAGUGGGGACGAAACUUGACGGUACCCACAGAGGAAGCACCGGCUAACUCCGUGCCAGCAGCCGCGGUAAUACGGAGGGUGCAAGCGUUGUCCGGAAUCAUUGGGCGUAAAGAGUUCGUAGGUGGCAUGUUUAGUCUGGUGUUAAAGCCCGAAGCUCAACUUCGGUUCGGCACCGGAUACUGGCAAGCUAGAAUGCGGCAGAGGUAAAGGGAAUUCCUGGUGUAGCGGUGAAAUGCGUAGAUAUCAGGAGGAACAUCAGUGGCGAAAGCGCUUUACCGGGCCGUUAUUGACGCUGAGGAACGAAAGCCGGGGUAGCAAAUGGG
rnacentral:rRNA from 1 species